rnacentral:rRNA from 1 species
GCGCACCAGGCGAGAAUACUUCGCAAUGGGGAAACCCUGACGAGGGGAUUCCAAGUGCCAGCACACAGUGUUGGCUGUUCUUCUGUCCAAAACGCAGGAGAAGUAAGGGCCGGGUAAGACGGGUGCCAGCCGCCGCGGUAAUACCCGCGGGCCCGAGUGGUGGGUCGAUUUUAUUGAGCCUAAAAACGUCCGUAGCCUGCGUUGGUAAAUUCCUUGGGUAAAUCGGCCAGCUUAACUGUCCGAAGUCCGGGGAGACUGCCAGGCUUGGGACCGGGA